UGGGGAAUUUUGGACAAUGGGCGAAAGCCUGAUCCAGCAAUGCCGCGUGUGUGAAGAAGGCCUUCGGGUUGUAAAGCACUUUUGUCCGGAAAGAAAUCCUUGGCUCUAAUACAGUCGGGGGAUGACGGUACCGGAAGAAUAAGCACCGGCUAACUACGUGCCAGCAGCCGCGGUAAUACGUAGGGUGCAAGCGUUAAUCGGAAUUACUGGGCGUAAAGCGUGCGCAGGCGGUUUGCUAAGACCGAUGUGAAAUCCCCGGGCUCAACCUGGGAACUGCAUUGGUGACUGGCAGGCUAGAGUAUGGCAGAGGGGGGUAGAAUUCCACGUGUAGCAGUGAAAUGCGUAGAGAUGUGGAGGAAUACCGAUGGCGAAGGCAGCCCCCUGGGCCAAAUACUGACGCUCAUGCACGAAAAGCGUGGGGGAGCAAAACAGGAUUAGAUACCCUGGUAGUCCACGCCCUAAAACGAUGUCAACUAGUUGUUGGGGAUUCAUUUCCUUAGUAACGUAGCUAACGCGUGAAGUUGACCGCCUGGGGAGUACGGUCGC
rnacentral:rRNA from 1 species